rnacentral:antisense_RNA from 1 species
GUUUAAAUUUUGGAUUUCCUUCAUUUGGUCAGGAGAAAGGGAGAACUCUUCCUGAUCUGAAAGCUCCAAAUCUGCCUCAAUUGCCUUAUUCAACAUCCAGCUAUUGUUUCUUUUUUUUCUUAGAAUAGAGUGUCCAAGACCUUCAAUUUCAUUUGCAAGUUCUAAACGUUGCUGUACAUGCGAUACUUGUGAUGAUAGUAAACCUUGAAGCUCAUCUGGAAUUCCGACGGAUUCAAAGCUUAAGGAAAUUGCUUUAAGAUGUUUGGAAUAUGCAGGAACAUCUUUUGGAGUACAGAAAAGAACACAUUCGCCUUGUCUGGAAGCUCUAGCAGUUCUUCCACUUCUGUGAAUCAUAAGUGAGAUAUUUCUUGGGGCUUGGAGGUGGACAACAACAUCUACUUCUGGGAUAUCAAGACCUCUUGCUAAGACGUCUGUACAUAUAAGAAUAGCAGAGUUAGAUGAUUUAAACGAUUCAAUAGCUUGAAUUCUCUGUUUUUGAGAGAGAUUGCCAUGUAUUCCAAUGAUCUUGAGUGAUUUUUCGUUACAAGCCUUACUACACUUUUUUCUUUUUUUUGGGCCAGGAAGCUCCUUUUCAUGAGUAUCUUUGCAAACAAGAACCAAAGAUAAAAGAGGAGCUAGUCUAUAUACAUAUGAUAUGGAAUUGACAAAGACUAGUAUUUUCCCAUUUUCAAUAUAACUUGGACAGAGAGAGCAUUGCUGAUUUCCUGCCUUGGUAUCCCAUAUUGGAGCAAAGUAUUUGAGUAGGUAUAAAACUAAUCUCAUUUCAAGUUCAUCGCUUUCACAUUUAAUCAUUGAAAUUUUGAGUCCUUUUGGAAGCUGUAUAAUUCCAUUUGGUUGGCUCAUAGUUUGGACCUGCUCUCCAUUUUCAUCCAAUAAAGACUUUGUCUUGAACCUGGAUAAAUCUAUUAUGAAUAGCUGAUUCUCCCUAAGUUUUACAUACUGCAUAAUACUCUGCAUUGCUUUAUUGGAAUUUUCUGG